GGGGAAAGGAUAUCAUGAUACCAGGAUAACAUGCUUCUCAUCUAUCUGAAGAAGAGAACUUUAAACCGGAGACUGGUGUUUAAAAACCAAGGAAUUCCCAGGUAUGAAAAAAUUUACCCACAUACCCUGAGGCAUGCGAACAGCCAUUCACUUAUCCUCAGGUAUGCAAAGGUGUACCAACCUCAUGCGUGCAAACAUAUACCAACUAAUGCAAAUACAUACAACCAUG